CCCACAUUCCACAGUCCCAACAGUGGAGAGAGAAAUGAUGAGAUGAGAUGAGAUGAGAUGAGACAGAUUAGAGAUACAGACACUGCCAUUACUGACGUCUACGGUUUCCUCUUCUUCCAACUAGCUCACAGCCAAAAAGCAACGAACACAACAAAGUGAAGCAUACCUCCGUUUCUCCCUUUUGUCCCCAUUCUCGCCUCCGUACUCAUCCUCAAAGUCUGUUUUGGGUAAUUGAGAUCAGCAGUCAAAGAAAUGGAUGGAAAUCAUCAAAUGGAGGUGCAUUACAUGAAUACUUUUGGCUAUCCUUAUAAUGCUUCAGACAGUUUUGUGGACUUUUUUGGAGGUCUUCCACAAGCCCCUUUACCUUAUGUUCACCCUCCUCCACCAAUGCCUCAUGAUCAUCAGGAAUCUGCAUAUUGGUCAAUGAAUAUGAAUUCUUACAGAUUUGGGUUAUCUGGCCCAGAAAAUGCCUCCC